AACGCGAAGAACCUUACCAAGGUUUGACAUGCAGGGAAAAGCCGUAGAGAUACGGUGUCCGUAAGGGCCCUGCACAGGUGGUGCAUGGCUGUCGUCAGCUCGUGUCGUGAGAUGUUGGGUUAAGUCCCGCAACGAGCGCAACCCUCGUCCUAUGUUGCCAGCGGAUAAUGCCGGGGACUCAUAGGAGACUGCCGGGGUCAACUCGGAGGAAGGUGGGGAUGACGUCAAGUCCUCAUGCCCCUUACAUCUUGGGCUGCAAACAUGCUACAAUGGCCGGUACAGAGGGCUGCGAGACCGCAAGGUGGAGCGAAUCUCAAAAAGCCGGUCUCAGUUCGGAUUGGGGUCUGCAACUCGACCCCAUGAAGUCGGAGUCGCUAGUAAUCGCGAAUCAGCAACGUCGCGGUGAAUACGUUCCCGGGCCUUGUA
rnacentral:rRNA from 1 species